rnacentral:rRNA from 1 species
GGUUAAUACCCCUGUCUGAUGACGGUACCUGAAGAAUAAGCACCGGCUAACUACGUGCCAGCAGCCGCGGUAAUACGUAGGGUGCGAGCGUUAAUCGGAAUUACUGGGCGUAAAGCGGGCGCAGACGGUUACUUAAGCAGGAUGUGAAAUCCCCGGGCUCAACCUGGGAACUGCGUUCUGAACUGGGUGACUAGAGUGUGUCAGAGGGAGGUAGAAUUCCACGUGUAGCAGU